UGCAAGUCGAGUGCGCGUUUCUGUAGCAAUACAGGAAUGGCGCACGGCGCACGGGUGCGUAACACGUGGGUAAUCUGCCCUCUGAUGGGGAAUAACCCGCCGAAAGGCGGGCUAAUUCCGCAUAACAUUCCUUGGACUCCGGUUCGAGGACUCAAAGGCGUAAGUCGUCGGAGGUGGAGCCCGCGCCCGAUUAGCUAGUUGGUGAGGUAACGGCUCACCAAGGCGAUGAUCGGUAGCUGGUCUGAGAGGAUGGCCAGCCACACUGGAACUGAGACACGGUCCAGACUCCUACGGGAGGCAGCAGUGGGGAAUCUUGCACAAUGGGCGAAAGCCUGAUGCAGCGACGCCGCGUGGGGGAUGAAGCUUCUCGGAGUGUAAACCCCUUUCGACCCGGACGAAUGCCCCGCAAGGGGAGUGACGGUACGGGUAUAAGAAGCCCCGGCUAACUACGUGCCAGCAGCCGCGGUAAGACGUAGGGGGCCAGCGUUGUUCGGAAUUACUGGGUGUAAAGGGUUCGUAGGCGGUGUAGCAAGUUGGGAGUGAAAUCUCUGGGCUCAACUCAGAGGCUGCUUCCAAAACUGCUGUGCUGGAGUGUGGGAGAGGCGCGUGGAAUUGCAGGUGUAGCGGUGAAAUGCGUAGAUAUCUGCAGGAACACCCGUGGCGAAAGCGGCGCGCUGGACCACUACUGACGCUGAGGAACGAAAGCUAGGGGAGCAAACAGGAUUAGAUACCCUGUAGUCCUAGCCCUAAACGAUCAGGACUUGGGGUGCCACCCGUUCGGGUGUCGUCCCGGAGCUAACGCGUUAAGUCCUGCACCUGGGGUGUACGGUCGCAAGAUGAAACUCAAAGGAAUUGACGGGGGCCCGCACAAGCGG
rnacentral:rRNA from 1 species